GCAUAUCAAUAAGCGGAGGAAAAGAAACCAACAGGGAUUGCCUUAGUAGCGGCGAGUGAAGCGGCAAAAGCUCAAAUUUGAAAUCUGGCGCCUUCGGUGUCCGAGUUGUAAUUUGAAGAUUGUAACCUUGGGGUUGGCUCUUGUCUAUGUUUCUUGGAACAGGACGUCACAGAGGGUGAGAAUCCCGUGCGAUGAGAUGCCCAAUUCUAUGUAAGGUGCUUUCGAAGAGUCGAGUUGUUUGGGAAUGCAGCUCUAAGUGGGUGGUAAAUUCCAUCUAAAGCUAAAUAUUGGCGAGAGACCGAUAGCGAACAAGUACAGUGAUGGAAAGAUGAAAAGAACUUUGAAAAGAGAGUGAAAAAGUACGUGAAAUUGUUGAAAGGGAAGGGUUUGAGAUCAGACUCGAUAUUUUGUGAGCCUUGCCUUCGUGGCGGGGUGACCCGCAGCUUAUCGGGCCAGCAUCGGUUUGGGCGGUAGGAUAAUGGCGUAGGAAUGUGACUUUACUUCGGUGAAGUGUUAUAGCCUGCGUUGAUGCUGCCUGCCUAGACCGAGGACUGCGAUUUAUC
rnacentral:rRNA from 1 species